rnacentral:rRNA from 1 species
UACGUAGGGUGCAAGCGUUAAUCGGAAUUACUGGGCGUAAAGCGUGCGCAGGCGGUUUUGUAAGUUUGUCGUGAAAUCCCCGGGCUCAACCUGGGAAUGGCGAUGAAGACUGCAAGGCUAGAAUCUGGCAGAGGGGGGGUAGAAUUCCACGUGUAGCAGUGAAAUGCGUAGAGAUGUGGAGGAACACCGAUGGCGAAGGCAGCCCCCUGGGUCAAGAUUGACGCUCAUGCAC